rnacentral:rRNA from 1 species
CCUACGGGGGGCAGCAGUGAGGAAUAUUGGUCAAUGGGCGGGAGCCUGAACCAGCCAAGUCGCGUGAGGGAAGACGGUCCUAUGGAUUGUAAACCUCUUUAGGCGGGGAGCAAUGCCGGGCACGCGUGUCCGGAGGGAGAGUACCCGCAGAAUAAGCAUCGGCUAACUCCGUGCCAGCAGCCGCGGUAAUACGUAGGUGGCAAGCGUUGUCCGGAUUUACUGGGUGUAAAGGGCGUGUAGCCGGGUUGACAAGUCAGAUGUGAAAUCCUGCGGCUUAACCGCAGAACUGCAUUUGAAACUGUUGU